rnacentral:rRNA from 1 species
UAUUGGACAAUGGGCGAAAGCCGGAUCCAGCCAUGCCGCGUGUGUGAAGAUUGUCUUUAGUUUAAAAAUCCCUUUAUUUUGAGACGAAGGGCUGUAUGUUAACAUCUUGCUUUUUUUUCUAUCCCGACAGAAUCAGCACCUGUAAACUCUGUUACAGCAGACGCGGUAAUACGAAGGGUGCAAGCGUUAAUUGGAAUUACUGGGCGUAAAGCGCGCGUAGGUGGUUUGUUAAGUUGGAAGUGAAAGGCCCGGGCUCAACCUGGGAACUGCUUUCAAAACUGGCAAGCUAGAGUAUGGCAGAGGGUGGUGGAAUUUCCUGUGUAGCGGUGAAAUGCGUAGAUAUAGGAAGGAACACCAGUGGCGAAGGCGACCACCUGGGCUAAUACUGACACUGAGGUGCGAAAGCGUGGGGAGCAAACA